rnacentral:piRNA from 1 species
CUAUAAGAUUCUUCAAUGGCCUUCUC